rnacentral:rRNA from 1 species
GAUGAACGCUGGCGGCGUGCCUAAUACAUGCAAGUCGAGCGAACAGAUGAGGAGCUUGCUCCUCUGACGUUAGCGGCGGACGGGUGAGUAACACGUGGAUAACCUACCUAUAAGACUGGGAUAACUUCGGGAAACCGGAGCUAAUACCGGAUAAUAUAUUGAACCGCAGGGUUCAAUAGUGAAAGACGGUUUUGCUGUCACUUAUAGAUGGAUCCGCGCCGCAUUAGCUAGUUGGUAAGGUAACGGCUUACCAAGGCAACGAUGCGUAGCCGACCUGAGAGAGUGAUCGGCCACCCUGGAACUUAGACACGGUCCAGACUCCUACGGGAGGCAGCAGUAGGCAAUCUUCCGCAAUGGGCGAAAGCCUGACGGAGCAACGCCGCGUGAGUGAUGAAGGUCUUCGGAUCGUAAAACUCUGUUAUUAGGGAAGAACAAAUGUGUAAGUAACUAUGCACGUCUUGACGGUACCUAAUCAGAAAGCCACGGCUAACUACGUG